AGUCGAGCGAACAGAUAAGGAGCUUGCUCCUUUGACGUUAGCGGCGGACGGGUGAGUAACACGUGGGUAACCUACCUAUAAGACUGGGAUAACUUCGGGAAACCGGAGCUAAUACCGGAUAACAUUUGGAACCGCAUGGUUCUAAAGUGAAAGAUGGUUUUGCUAUCACUUAUAGAUGGACCCGCGCCGUAUUAGCUAGUUGGUAAGGUAACGGCUUACCAAGGCGACGAUACGUAGCCGACCUGAGAGGGUGAUCGGCCACACUGGAACUGAGACACGGUCCAGACUCCUACGGGAGGCAGCAGUAGGGAAUCUUCCGCAAUGGGCGAAAGCCUGACGGAGCAACGCCGCGUGAGUGAUGAAGGGUUUCGGCUCGUAAAACUCUGUUAUUAGGGAAGAACAAAUGUGUGAGUAACUGUGCACGUCUUGACGGUACCUAAUCAGAAAGCCACGGCUAACUACGUGCCAGCAGCCGCGGUAAUACGUAGGUGGCAAGCGUUAUCCGGAACUAUUGGGCGUAAAGCGCGCGUAGGCGGUUUCUUAAGUCUGAUGUGAAAGCCCACGGCUCAACCGUGGAGGGUCAUUGGAAACUGGGAAACUUGAGUGCAGAAGAGGAAAGUGGAAUUCCAUGUGUAGCGGUGAAAUGCGCAGAGAUAUGGAGGAACACCAGUGGCGAAGGCGACUUUCUGGUCUGUAACUGACGCUGAUGUGCGA
rnacentral:rRNA from 1 species